ACGGGAGGCAGCAGUGGGGAAUAUUGCACAAUGGGGGAAACCCUGAUGCAGCGACGCCGCGUGAGUGAAGAAGUAUUUCGGUAUGUAAAGCUCUAUCAGCAAGGAAGAAAAUGACGGUACCUGACUAAGAAGCCCCGGCUAACUACGUGCCAGCAGCCGCGGUAAUACGUAGGGGGCAAGCGUUAUCCGGAUUUACUGGGUGUAAAGGGAGCGUAGACGGUGAAGCAAGUCUGAAGUGAAAGGCAGGGGCUCAACCCCUGGACUGCUUUGGAAACUGUUUUACUAGAGUACAGGAGAGGUAAGCGGAAUUCCUAGUGUAGCGGUGAAAUGCGUAGAUAUUAGGAGGAACACCAGUGGCGAAGGCGGCUUACUGGACUGCAACUGACGUUGAGGCUCGAAAGCGUGGGGAGCAAACAGGAUUAGAUACCCUGGUA
rnacentral:rRNA from 1 species